UACGUAGGGUGCAAGCGUUAAUCGGAAUUACUGGGCGUAAAGCGUGCGCAGGCGGUUGUGUAAGUCAGAUGUGAAAUCCCCGGGCUCAACCUGGGAAUUGCAUUUGAGACUGCACGGCUAGAGUGUGUCAGAGGAGGGUAGAAUUCCACGUGUAGCAGUGAAAUGCGUAGAGAUGUGGAGGAAUACCGAUGGCGAAGGCAGCCCCCUGGGAUAACACUGACGCUCAUGCACGAAAGCGUGGGGAGCAAACAGG
rnacentral:rRNA from 1 species